rnacentral:lncRNA from 1 species
UCCCACGAGCUGACCAACUGCACCAGAUGCAGCUGACACGAAGACGGUUUCUCCUUUCUUAGGAGAACAGAUUUCAUAAAACCCAGCAUAGGCAGUCAUGCCGGGCAUACCUGACAUAAACAGAGGAAUGCUUCUAAGACACACUAGUAAACUAUUGAAACUUGAAGUGUUUUGUAAACUGUUUUCAGAUUUGUUCACGAUAAAAGAGACUAUUCGACAUGAUUUGGAGCUUGUGUGCAAUGCAGCAUGCAUUAUAAUCAAAGACCAGACUAAUAUGGCAAUUGUAUAGCCAGCUUUCUCACUAUGAAAGUUGAAAAUGUCCCUAAAGAGAAACAGAGAUAACACACCGAGAAGUCCAGUGUAGUAUGAUAACGGAACAUCAGUGUGUUGGAUCUUGGAAUGUGAAAAAUCUGGAGUUAUAACACUGUACUCCUCCCAUCCAACUAAUCCCCAAAUUAAGUCUCCCUUUUUGAAAUCCGGGUGGCCAGAGUCUAUCACUUUAGACACUG